UCCGGUUUGUCACCGGCAGUCUCACUAGAGUGCCCAACUGAAUGUAGCAACUAAUGACAAGGGUUGCGCUCGUUGCGGGACUUAACCCAACAUCUCACGACACGAGCUGACGACAGCCAUGCAGCACCUGUGUUACGGCUCCCUUUCGGGCACGUCUCCAUCUCUGGAGACUUCCGUACAUGUCAAGGGUGGGUAAGGUUUUUCGCGUUGCAUCGAAUUAAACCACAUCAUCCACCGCUUGUGCGGGCCCCCGUCAAUUCCUUUGAGUUUCAGCCUUGCGGCCGUACUCCCCAGGCGGGGCACUUACUGCGUUAGCGACGGCACCGGGAGGGUCGAUCCCCCCGACGCCUAGUGCCCAUCGUUUACGGCGUGGACUAC
rnacentral:misc_RNA from 1 species